AAGUAAUCAAGAACACACCAUGUUACACACCAUGUAUCUCUUAUUAGACGGAAUGUUGAUUCUUUUAAUAAUUGUAUGUUUGUUUUCCAUUGUCUUAUUUUUGAUGUUUGUUGUUCUGGAAACAAGGGAGAGGGAGGAGGGGGAGAGGGAGAAGAAAGA
rnacentral:ribozyme from 13 species